UACGUAGGGACCGAGCGUUGUCCGGAAUCAUUGGGCGUAAAGAGCGUGUAGGCGGCUUGCUAAGUCUUGCGUGAAAUCUCGGGGCUCAACCCCGAGCGGUCGUGAGAAACUGGCAGGCUAGAGUGCGGGAGAGGAGAGUGGAAUUCCUGGUGUAGCGGUGAAAUGCGCAGAUAUCAGGAAGAACACCCGUGGCGAAGGCGGCUCUCUGGAACGCAACUGACGCUGAGACGCGAAAGCGUGGGGAGCGAACAGG
rnacentral:rRNA from 1 species